GUUUGGGGUGUUCCUUUGAAAGUAAAUAGCUCCCUUAUAUAUGCUGUCUCUACACUUUUGUUUUGAAGAAAAUAUCAACACCAGUGAUUACAAAUUGUUUAAUAUUACUCUUUUUUUCCAUAAUUUACAGUUAAAAAUGUCCAUAGUUUUCAAUAUUUAAAAUUACAUUUCAUUUACAUUUGAAAAAUACUCUUUUUGUCGCCAAAAGAUAACUAACUACAAUUUAUACAGAGUAAAAACACAUUUCGAGACUUCCUUUCUCUACAUAAUUUAAUGUCCAGUGCAGAUCUUCAUUAGUGCAGAUGGCUAUAAUUUUAUCUGCCUGUGAUCCACACCGUGAUUCACAUAUAAACCUAUUAACAAUUUAAUUGGCAAUGAGAUUUAAAGGACCACUAUAGGCACCCAGACCACUUCGGCUUAAAGGACCACUAUAGGCAUCCAGACCACUUGAGCUUAAUGAAGUGGUCUGGGUGCCUGGUCCAGCUAUGGUUACACCUUUUUGUUUUUAUAAACAUAGCAGUUUCAGAGAAACUGCUAUGUUUAUAAUAGGAUUAAUCCAGCCUCUAGAGCCUCUAGUGGCUGUUUCACUGACAGCCGCUAGAGGCGCUUGCGUGCUUCUCACUGUGAAAAUUUUAAUUGUAAAUGCUUUCCUAUGAACUGGCUGAAUGUGCACGCGGCUCCUGCCGCGCAUGCGCAUUCAGCCGAUGACGUCGCUAUGAAGGAGGAGAGCUCCCCGCCCGGCGCUGGAGAAAGGUAAGAUUUUAACCCCUUCCUCUCCCCAGAGCCCGGCGAGUAUGUUUUCCUGGCACUAUAGUGGUCCUUUAAUGAAGUGGUCUGGGUGCCAGGUCCAGCUAGGGUUAACCCUUUUUUUCUAUAAACAUAGCAGUUUCAGAGAAACUGCUAUGUUUAUGGGUUAAUCCAGCCUCUAGUGGCGGUCUCUUGACAGCCGCUAGAGGCGCUUGCGUGCUUCUCACUGUGAUUUUCACAGUGAGAAGACGCCAGCGUCCAUAGGAAAGCAUUGUAAAUGCUUUCCUAUGAGACUGGCUGAAUGCGCGCGCGGCUCUUGCCGCGCAUGCGCAUUCAGCCGAAGAGGAAGAGAGGCGGCGGAGAGGAGGAGGAGAGCUCCCCGUCCGGUGCUGGAGAAAGAGUUAAGUUUAACCCCUUCCUCCCCCCAGAGCCCGGCGGGAGGGGGACCCUGAGGGUGGGGGCACCCUCAGGGCACUAAAGUGCCAGGAAAAUGAGUAUGUUUUCCUGGCACUAUAGUGGUCCUUUAAGUGAAAGAUCAAAGGUAAAUAAAUUGGCAGUAUUUCCUUAUGAUAGAAUGUCCAUACAUUUUAAGUGGCCUUCCUGUGUCCAUACAUUAUAAGUGAAUUCCUGUGGAUAACACAGAUUUCAUGCUAAUAAAGCAUGUUUCACCACUUAUGGGAUAUCUAAGUGCUUUACAAUAAGUCACACAUUGCAAAUUCCUGACAGAUUAGUCAUUCAUUUUAUUGUACUCCAUAGAAAAAAAAAAUAUCUAUAUCUAUAUAU